UUUGGGGCGGGACGGAGAAGACAUUCUUCUUCUCCUCCUCCUCCUCGCCUCGCCUUCCGCCUCCCCAACCCGGCCGCGAGCGCGCGCGCGCGACAUGCACCCCACGUUCGCGCGCGGCUUAAAUUAGGCAGGCGGCCCGCUCCUCCUCCUUUUUAAAUUUUUUUUUUCUACUUCUUCCUCUUCCUCUUCCUCUUCUUGUUCUUCCACAACGCCGGCCGGCCGUGCGUGCGUGCGUGGCAGCAAAGUAGUGCGCGCCAUGUCUGUCUCUCUCGCCUAGCUGGAUUUGAUUUUUGUGUUUCUUCUUGCUUGAUUGGUUUGCUGGCCCUGUCUUGCUCCGAGGCGCGAGCGUCUGUGUUUUGGUGGUUUGUUUGUGCGUGGUGCGCGCGUUCCGGCGAGGCGACGGUGGUGGCUUGGUUUCCUUGCUCUGACGUAGCUCUUCGUGUGGCGGCGGCGGGAGGUGAGGAGGCGCGGCGGCGGCGGCGGCGGUGAGCGAACGGCGGN
rnacentral:lncRNA from 1 species